rnacentral:rRNA from 1 species
GACGUAGGGCGCGAGCGUUGUCCGGAUUUAUUGGGCGUAAAGAGCUCGUAGGCGGCUUGUCGCGUCGAAUGUGAAAUCUCAGGGCUCAACUCUGACAUUGCAUUCGAUACGGGCAGGCUAGAGUCCGGAAGAGGAGAGUGGAAUUCCUGGUGUAGCGGUGAAAUGCGCAGAUAUCAGGAAGAACACCCGUGGCGAAGGCGGCUCUCUGGGACGGUACUGACGCUGAGACGCGAAAGCGUGGGGAGCGAACAGG